rnacentral:rRNA from 1 species
GACGAACGCUGGCGGCGUGCUUAACACAUGCAAGUCGAACGGUAAGGCCCUUCGGGGUACACGAGUGGCGAACGGGUGAGUAACACGUGGGUGAUCUGCCCUGCACUUCGGGAUAAGCCUGGGAAACUGGGUCUAAUACCGGAUAGGACUCCUGGCUUCAUGGUUGGGGGUGGAAAGCUUUUGCGGGGUGGGAUGGGCCCGCGGCCUAUCAGCUUGUUGGUGGGGUAAUGGCCUACCAAGGCGACGACGGGUAGCCGGCCUGAGAGGGGGCCCGGUAACACUGGGACUGAGAUGCGGCCCAGACUCCUACGGGAGGCAGCAGUGGGGAAUAUUGCACAAUGGGCGCAAGCCUGAUGCAGCGACGCCGCGUGAGGGAUGACGGCCUUCGGGUUGUAAACCUCUUUCAGCUAUGACGAAGCGCAAGUGACGGUAGUAGCAGAAGAAGGACCGGCCAACUACGUGCCAGCAGCCGCCGCGG